rnacentral:rRNA from 1 species
GCUUACGGCCAUACCAACCUGGCUAUGCCCGAUCUUGUCUGCUCUCGGAAGCUAAGCAGGUUUGGGCCUGGUUAGUACUUGGAUGGGAGACCGCCUGGGAAUACCAGGUGCUGUAAGCU